AUCAUGCAUGCAGGUUCAUGGUAACGAGUAUGGCGGGCUAGAAUGCUGUGCUUCUGUGCGCCUCGCUUUCCUUUUAGUCUCUCCACAGUCUAAUCUGUAGCUUAGUGAAAAUAUUGUAAAGAAAAACCAAGAGUGUGAACAGGAUGACUUCUGCUCUCCUUGUUGCAUUAUACAUGCCGCCUCAUUUUGCACAGGUGUUUCACCAGGAUCGGCAAGAUUUCAUUGAUCUUGAGCCGGACGAAGUGAUUACCAAAAGCUGCAAAAAUCAAGAUUGCUCACAACUCCCAGAUCACUACCGCCACCACGGCCACGUCAGAAGAGCAGCACGCAAGAUUUUGAAGACGCAGCACCUCUGAUGGUCCCGGGCCGACAGUAAAGCACUAUUUCUGAAGCCUAUGCACCAAUUACUGCAUGGUUAUCAAAGCUUGUAGCUUCCCUCGAGACAGCGCACACGCCGCUGCAGGACCCGGGUGAUUAUAAAAAAUUCGUCCUUCCCGGCUUUGGUAACCAAGG